GUGUCAGCAGCCGCGGUAAUACGUAGGCAGCAAGCGUUGUUCGGAAUUACUGGGCGUAAAGCGUGCGUAGGCGGUGCCUCAAGUUUGGUGUGAAAUCUCCCGGCUCAACCGGGAGGGUGCGCCGAAAACUGAGGUGCUCGAGUGUGGGAGAGGUAGGCGGAAUUCCUGGUGUAGCGGUGAAAUGCGUAGAUAUCAGGAGGAACACCGGCGGUGUAGACGGCUUACUGGACCAUAACUGACGCUGAGGCACGAAAGUGUGGGGAGCAAACAGGAUUAGAUACCCUGGUAGUCCACACCCUAAACGAUGCAUACUUGGUGUGAGCCAUUCAUUUGGUUCGUGCCGGAGCUAACGCGUUAAGUAUGCCGCCUGGGGAGUACGGUCGCAAGGCUGAA
rnacentral:rRNA from 1 species